AUUUAUAUAGUUUAAAAAAAACUUUACAUUUUCACUGUAAAUUUAGAGACUCUCUCUUAUAAAUU